GCCAUACUCACGUUACAUUCUCUUAUCACUUCCUACCCAGAUAAGGCAUACCAGCAACAGCCAACCAACAAGGCUGAAAAUCAUACCGCAUAUGCACCGGACAUCAACCCUACUAGCAGGACAGGCCCUACCCACCCCCCUGCCCACCAAGAGAGGGCCUCGUGUGGCACUCUCUCCCUCACCACCAACACACACAGCACAACAAAGGCAAUUUAGGAGCUGAAAGAUGGAUGACUACACUUCAAAGCUAUGGGUAGUUGAAACCCAGAUGGGAGGCUGAGGAAAGGACAUCAUAAGUUAGGACUGGCCUCAAACCAGGGAGUCAUGCCUGUGCCAUGGAGUUCCUUUACCUUCUAAAGCAGAAUGCACAGAGAGCAAUGGUAAGAUAAGUAAGACAUUACAGAUAACUUAGUUCUCAUGAACUGUGGUAGAUUUGAAAAGGUUACAAAGGAAAAUUAACAGAACUUUGCCUCAAACGUACUUAGGUUGAUCUUAUGUACCAGUACCAGAAAAUAUGCCUGAAAUUAUAUAUAUAUAUAUAUAUAUAUAUAUAUAUAUAUAUAUAUAUAUAUAUAUAUAUAUAUAUAUAUAUAUUUACACACACAGAAAAAGAUAUGACUAUAAAUAUGAGAAAUAAGUUUCAUAAAAACUGAAUCAUAUUUCAAAAAACAUUAGGAAAAGAAAUCUUCAUCAUGCAGUUCAAUCCUUCUAUAUUCAACAACAAACAGAUCAUUCUACGUCCAUUGCUAUUGUAAUUUGAGCAAACUGAAACAGACAUUCAAAAUAUUGACUAUCUCUCCCUCAGCAAUAAUGAAAUCCAAUUCAGAGAAGAUCAAAGUUACAGGGUAUUCAACAUGCAUCUAUCCCUCACUUUACCUUGAGAGAGUAUGUGACAAAUUGGAACAAAAUUCUUAUACCAUUAGAUCUCAUAAAUUUCUUAUCAUAUAAAAGGAACUGACAAUACAUUCACAACAAAAUUAAUCAUUCAUGAAAACAGAUGCAAAAGAAUCAUUAAAAGAAACUCAAUGCAAUCACAAUCAAAAUACAUAAAAGAUAUAAAACCACCUCCCUAUCUAUCACAUACAUGGUAAUAAAACAUCGCACAGCAGGGCUGAUUCCACCAUAUCAGACACAGCAAUAAAUAAAAGGGGACACAUGUAUAAUGGAGUUUAUCAUCUUUUGUUGUGGGAAUAUUGACAAGAACUCUAGCCAGAAAUAUGAAUAAAAGAAAAUAGAUUGUCAAUGGCUAUGGGAAUUGGCAGGAGGGGGGAGGGAUGAAGGAAUCAAUGAAAAGCAACGGUUUUUCAAUACUUCGAGAACGGUACACCGAAGAACGGCAUACCGAGUUGUGUGUGUACUCACAAUAACUGUAAUCAAUCUCUUCUCUCGGGAAUAAAUUUUUUUCGCAACUUAA
rnacentral:lncRNA from 1 species